AUUGAACGCUGGCGGCAGGCCUAACACAUGCAAGUCGAGCGGAUGAAGGGAGCUUGCUCCUGGAUUCAGCGGCGGACGGGUGAGUAAUGCCUAGGAAUCUGCCUGGUAGUGGGGGAUAACGUCCGGAAACGGGCGCUAAUACCGCAUACGUCCUGAGGGAGAAAGUGGGGGAUCUUCGGACCUCACGCUAUCAGAUGAGCCUAGGUCGGAUUAGCUAGUUGGUGGGGUAAAGGCCUACCAAGGCGACGAUCCGUAACUGGUCUGAGAGGAUGAUCAGUCACACUGGAACUGAGACACGGUCCAGACUCCUACGGGAGGCAGCAGUGGGGAAUAUUGGACAAUGGGCGAAAGCCUGAUCCAGCCAUGCCGCGUGUGUGAAGAAGGUCUUCGGAUUGUAAAGCACUUUAAGUUGGGAGGAAGGGCAGUAAGGUAAUACCUUGCUGUUUUGACGUUACCAACAGAAGAAGCACCGGCUAACU
rnacentral:rRNA from 1 species